UUUAGACGAUGUAGAUCGAAAAGUUUAUUUCUCAAAAGACCUCUUCCUUUCUCAAACGCACGAGCACUCCCAAACCCACUUCUCUCUCGACUUCCCUCGACCUUCCUUGAGCUCCAUUGACCUCCUCCGUAGCCACCUCGCCGCCGGUGACUUCUGACAGGCGGACGAGGCCGCAUCCCGACAACUCCCACAACCAAACCCACUUCUCUCUCUUCCUCCACCCUCACAUUUCCUCUCUCGUCAAACACCACCAUUUCCUCCUCUUUCUUGGCCGUCGUUUCCUCGACCGCCUCCACAAGCAUCUUGUUGUAAUUUAUAAUAAUAAUUCUUAUUCUUAUUGUUGAGAAAGAAGAGGUACGAACUCACACGUUGUGGGUCGUUGAUUUUUCUUGAUUUCCUUAUCUGGGGUUCGUGAUUUUGAAAGGGCAUUUGUGCGAAAGAUUUUUGGGUUCUGUCUCGUGAAGUCGUUACAAGCACAGUUUUGAUCUGAUUUCCAGAAUAUCCAACGCAAAGACCAGAUAUCACGAUAAAUUUUUCUUUUUAUUUGGUUAUGAAUUCUACAUCUUGUUAGUUUUUGAUACUUAUUUGGCACCUGAAACCUGUGUAUCAGGGCCGUCUUCCAAAGAAUUUCAGGGGACGCAAGUCAGAUAUUGUUUGGUCAGGAAGUCCUUGGAUGUGUGGUAAGCAGCUCAAGCAUUACCCUGCUUUCUGUAGGAAUGGGAUUACGAUAGCGGUUCAAUCUUUUGUCUUUGUCAUGGCAAAUGGAGAGAAUCACUACAUUGCUUAUCUGGAAGACAUGUGUGAGGACAAAAGAGAUCAGAAAAAGGUCAAAGUGAGGUGGUUUCAUCAUAAUCAGGAAGUCAAGGGGGUUGUUCCGCUGUGAAAUCUGCACCCGAAAGAAGUUUUUAUCACACCAUAUGCACAAGUCAUCAAUGCAGAGUGCGUCAAUGGUCUUGCCACGGUCUUAAUUCGUGAACAUUGAAAAAUGCUUAGUUGCAAUUCCUCAUGGUUCCGUGGCCAAAGAUGAGGAUGGAUAUGACAAUCUCGAGGUAUGAAGAUCAUCAUGGUGAUGACAAUGGCAGCAAAGAAGACAUGAAAGAGCUUGAAAUCCCCAAUGAGAGCUUAAAAGCAAUUAAAAUGAUGGAAGUGACGGUAUGAGAUGUGUCUAACAUGAGUGUUUUUUUCCCUUCUUAGUUUAGAGUCUCUGUAAAUAGUUACAAGGUCUUUUGGUGGGGGAAAACGAAAAACUCAUUCCAUUCCUUUGAAAAUUUCGAAUUGGUGGCUUCUGUAGUGUACAGUCACAGGUGUUAGGAUUUUAUGACCACCUGAUUUUAACUAACUAUAUUAGAAAGAUAAUUUGGUUAGGAACCUCGUAAAUGAACCAUUCAGUCCUCAUGCUUCCAUGAAAUGACUGAGUAUGUGCUUGCUUCUUGUA